GAUGAACGCUGGCGGCGUGCUUAACACAUGCAAGUCGAACGGAAAGGCUCCUGCUUGCAGGGGUACUCGAGUGGCGAACGGGUGAGUAACACGUGGGUGAUCUGCCCUGCACUUCGGGAUAAGCCUGGGAAACUGGGUCUAAUACCGGAUAGGGCGAUGGUUUGGAUGCCAUUGUGGAAAGUUUUUUCGGUGUGGGAUGAGCUCGCGGCCUAUCAGCUUGUUGGUGGGGUAAUGGCCUACCAAGGCGUCGACGGGUAGCCGGCCUGAGAGGGUGUACGGCCACAUUGGGACUGAGAUACGGCCCAGACUCCUACGGGAGGCAGCAGUGGGGAAUAUUGCACAAUGGGCGCAAGCCUGAUGCAGCGACGCCGCGUGGGGGAUGACGGCCUUCGGGUUGUAAACUCCUUUCGCUAGGGACGAAGCGCAAGUGACGGUACCUGGAGAAGAAGCACCGGCUAACUACGU
rnacentral:rRNA from 1 species